UACGUAGGGUGCAAGCGUUAAUCGGAAUUACUGGGCGUAAAGCGUGCGCAGGCGGCUUUGCAAGACAGAUGUGAAAUCCCCGGGCUUAACCUGGGAACUGCAUUUGUGACUGCAAGGCUAGAGUACGGUAGAGGGGGAUGGAAUUCCGCGUGUAGCAGUGAAAUGCGUAGAUAUCUGGAGGAACACCGGUGGCGAAGGCGGCAUUCUGGACCGGUAUUGACGCUGAGGCGCGAAAGCCAGGGGAGCAAACGGG
rnacentral:rRNA from 1 species